UACGGAGGGUGCGAGCGUUGUUCGGAAUCAUUGGGCGUAAAGGGCGUGUAGGUGGUCUAUUAAGUCAUGUGUGAAAGCCCUCAGCUUAACUGGGGAAGUGCGCAUGAAACUGACAGGCUAGAGUACCGAAGAGGAAGGUGGAAUUCCCGGUGUAGCGGUGAAAUGCGUAGAUAUUGGGAAGAACACCGGUGGCGAAGGCGGCGCUCUGGACCGAGACUGACGCUGAGGCGCGAAGGCGUGGGGAGCAACAGG
rnacentral:rRNA from 1 species